GGCGCCCCUGCUACAUGCACGAGUGCAAGCGUCACGUGGCCGUGAGUAGGCCAGUUCCACGCCAACAAGAUGAACCUGGGCACUGCAACUACCUAUGUACUCUUCUGUUGAUGAACUUCCUCCACACCUGCAGUGACAAGAAAACACUGAAGAAGUGGUUCUUCAUCGACAAGACAGUUGGCUAAGAAAAUCCAGCUGAAAGAGAGACAACCAUCGUACCUGCCUGAGAAAGAUCCUGCCUACAGUGCAUGGAUGGUAAGGUCAUUGUUGUGAAGGCCCCACA